GUAAAAAGUAGAAUAAUAGAUUUGAAAUAUUUAUUAUAUAGAUUUAAAGAGAUAAUCAUGGAGUAUAAAUUAUUAAAUAAGAUAAGAUUUAAUAAUAACUAUUAAUAGGAUUAGGUUACUAAUAAAUUAAUAAUAAUUAAUUUAAAAACCUAAAGGUAAACCUUUAUAUUAAUAAUAUAUAUAUUUAUAUUAUUAAUAAUAAUAAGAACUAAGUGAACUGAAACAUCUAAGUAACUUAAGGAAUAUAAAUCAACAGAGAUAUUAUGAGUAUUGGUGAGAGAAAAUAAUAAAGGUCUAAUAAGUAUUAUGUAAGAAGUAUGUAAGAAAAUAGGAUAACAAAUUCUAAGACUAAAUACUAUUAAUAAGUAUAAUAAGUACCGUAAGGGAAAGUAUGAAAAUGAUUAUUUUAUAAGCAAUCAUGGAUAUAAUUUUAAUAUUAAUGAUGUACCUUUUGUAUAAUGGGUCAGCAAGUAAUUAAUAUUAGUAAAACAAUAAAGUUAUAAAUAAAUAGAAAAAGUAUAUAUAUAAAAAAAUAUAUUAAAAUAUUUAAUUAAUAUUAAUUGACCCGAAAGCAAACGAUCUAACUAUGAUAAGAUGGGUAAACGAUCGAACAGGUUGAUGUUGCAAUAUCAUCUGAUUAAUUGUGGUUAGUAGUGAAAGACAAAUCUGGUUUGCAGAUAGCUGGUUUUCUAUGAAAUAUAUGUAAGUAUAGCCUUUAUAAAUAAUAAUUAUUAUAUAAUAUUAAAAUAAUAUUAUAUAAAGAAUGGUACAGCAAUUAAUAUAUAUUAGGGAACUAUAAAAGUUUUAUUAAUAAUAUUAAAUCUCGAAAUGUUUAAUUAUAUAUAAUAAAGAGUCAGAUUAUGUGCGAUAAGGUAAAUAAUCAAAAGGGAAACAGCCCAGAUUAAGAUAUAAAGUUCCUAAUAAAUAAUAAGUGAAAAAAAUAUUAAAAUAUUAUAAUAUAAUCAGUUAAUGGGUUUGACAAUAACCAUUUUUUAAUGAACAUGUAACAAUGCACUGAUUUAUAAAAAUAAAAUAAUAUUUAAAAUCAAAUAUAUAUAUAUAUUUUUGUUAAUAGAUAAUAUACGGAUCUUAAUAAUAAUAAGAAUUAUUUAAUUCCAAAAAUGGAAUAUCAUAUUAAAUUAAUAAAAAAUAUGAAUACUGAAUAUCUAAAUAUUAUUAUUAAUAAUAAAUAAUAAUAAUAAUAUGGUAAUAGAACAUUUAAUGAUAAUAUAUAUUAGUUAUUAAUUAAUAUAUUAAUUAAUUAAAUAGAGAAUGCUGACAUGAGUAACGAAAAAAAGGUAUAAACCUUUUCACCUAAAACAUAAGGUUUAACUAUAAAAGUACGGCCCCUAAUUAAAUAAAUAAGAAUAUAAAUAUAUUUAAGAUGGGAUAAUCUAUAUUAAUAAAAAUAAUCUUAAAAUAUAUAUAUUAUUAUUAUUAAUUUAUUAAUUAAUUAAUUAAUAAUAUAUAUAAUUAUAUUUAUAUAUUAUAUAUAUAUAUAAUAUAAACUAAUAAAGAUCAAGAAAAGUAUUAAUGUAUACCGUAAUGUAGACCGACUCAGGUAUGUAAGUAGAGAAUAUGAAGGUGUAUUAGAGAAUUAAAGGGAAGGAACUCGGCAAAGAUAGCUCAUAAGUUAGUCAAUAAAGAGUAAUAAGAACAAAGUUGUACAACUGUUUACUAAAAACACCGCACUUUGCAGAAACGAUAAGUUUAAGUAUAAGGUGUGAACUCUGCUCCAUGCUUAAUAUAUAAAUUAAAUUAUUUAACGAUAAUUUAAUUAAAUUUAGGUAAAUAGCAGCCUUAUUAUGAGGGUUAUAAUGUAGCGAAAUUCCUUGGCCUAUAAUUGAGGUCCCGCAUGAAUGACGUAAUGAUACAACAACUGUCUCCCCUUUAAACUAAGUGAAAUUGAAAUCGUAGUGAAGAUGCUAUGUACCUUCAGCAAGACGGAAAGACCCUAUGCAGCUUUACUGUAAUUAGAUAGAUCGAAUUAUUGUUUAUUAUAUUCAGCAUAUUAAGUAAUCCUAUAAUUUUAGGUAAUCGUUUAGAUAUUAAUGAGAUACUUAUUAUAAUAUAAUGAUAAUUCUAAUCUUAUAAAUAAUAAUUAAUUAAUUAAUUAAUUAUUAAUACUUAAUAGAUAUAAUUUCUUAAGUAAUAUAUAAUAUAUUAUAUUAUUAUAUGUAUUAUAUAUAUAUAUAAGAGACAAUCUCUAAUUGGUAGUUUUGAUGGGGCGUCAUUAUCAGCAAAAGUAUCUGAAUAAGUCCAUAAAUAAAUAUAUAAAAUUAUUGAAUAAGAAUAAUAUAUAUUAUAUAUAUUAAUUAUAAAUUGAAAUAUAUUUAUAUUUUUAAUGAAUAUAUUUUAGUAAUAGAUAAAAAUAUGUACAGUAAAAUUGUAAGGAAAACAAUAAUAACUUUCUAUUUAUUAAUUUAUAAAAAAAGUAUAGAAAGAAUUAGAUUAAUAUAAUGGUAUAACUGUGCGAUAAUUGUAACACAAACGAGUGAAACAAGUACGUAAGUAUGGCAUAAUGAACAAAUAACACUGAUUGUAAAGGUUAUUGAUAACGAAUAAAAGUUACGCUAGGGAUAACAGGGUAAUAUAACGAAAGAGUAGAUAUUGUAAGUUAUGUUUGCCACCUCGAUGUCGACUCAACAUUUCCUCUUGGUUGUAAAAGCUAAGAAGGGUUUGACUGUUCGUCAAUUAAAAUGUUACGUGAGUUGGGUUAAAUACGAUGUGAAUCAGUAUGGUUCCUAUCUGCUGAAGGAAAUAUUAUCAAUUUAAAUCUCAUUAUUAGUACGCAAGGACCAUAAUGAAUCAACCCAUGGUGUAUCUAUUGAUAAUUUAAUAAUAUAUUUAUAAUAAAAAUUUUAUAAUAAAUAUAUUAUCUAUAUUAGUUUAUAUUUUUAUAUAAUUAUCAUAGUAGAUAAGCUAAGUUGAUAAUAAAUAAAUAUUGAAUACAUAUUAAAUAUGAAGUUGUUUUAAUAAGAUAAUUAAUCUGAUAAUUUUAUACUAAAAUUUAAUAAUUAUAGGUUUUAUAUAUUCUUUAUAUAUUAAUAAUAUUUUUUAUAAUAUUAAUAAAAUACUAAUUUAUCAGUUAUCUAUAUAAUAUCUAAUCUAUUAUUCUAUAUACU
rnacentral:rRNA from 1 species